CAAAAAUUUCCCUGAAUACGCAGGAAUAGUAUUCUGUGGGGAGGAUCUGCUGAAGGCAGACGUGUCGGUGCACAUUCCCAAGGCACUCUCCAAACACUAGAGGGAUCCAGCAGCGGAGCUGACGAUGUAUGAAGACUGCCUUUUCUCUCCUGUCGGCAUUCUGGAUUAGAGCUGAUUAUUCCCCCCACCGUUUCCUGCCACAGCCCUCACGUUCCCACCUGUAGCCCUGGCUUUAUUCUGCGUGUGUGAGAAUUCUGCUGUGUUCUUCUCCACCUGCUUCCAUCAGGAGGCUUUGCAGGACAGAGACCUUGUCUGGCUGUCCCUGCAGUGCCUCCCACCGGCUACACACAUUUCGUUUUUGUUUUUAUUUUUAUUUUACUUAUUUAUUUAUUGUGAGACAGAGUUUC
rnacentral:lncRNA from 1 species